AUCCAACGGUCCGAAAUAAUUUUUUGCCUUAAUUAAGAGUCCUAAUCACUUUCUAAGAGGGUUUUAAGGCCUUUAAAGGCCUGAUGCUCAACAGUGCGUUGUGUGGUGGUCUUUUAGCUUGUUUUUUCUAACGAAAAUCUGUGCAGGUUGUGAUUUUGUGCGGCGUACAGGCCGUGAGGUCACGCAGAAACCAAAGAACAUGAACACCAUGAAGAGAGAGAAUCGCGUACGACACUGUGAGAGAAGGAGCAGAGCUCUUGGAC
rnacentral:lncRNA from 1 species